rnacentral:lncRNA from 1 species
CCUUUGACAACCGAACUGAAAUGGCAACGGAAUUUGCCAGCGAUAAAAGACGAGACUUGCCAACUCCUUUGCCUUGUGGAGACAACUGUGGAGUAAGCAUUAACUGGCAUUUGCUUAGUGAUUUCACAGACGGCUGGACUGCAAGAGUAACACUGUUUAAUUGGGAUGACAGCAACAUUGUUGACUGGUUUGCUGCUGUACAAUUGGAUAAAGCCAUCCAAGGUUUUGAAAAAGCGUACUCUUUCAACGGAACCAUCAUUCCUGAUACUAACAACACAAUAUUUAUACAGGAGUUUUCAGGCUUAAAUUACCUUCUUGCGGAAAGAAGAGGAGACAAUCCAAGGAAAGAUCCUCCAGUUCCUGGUACCGUGCAAUCUGUCAUAUCUUUCACAAAGAAGAGCACACCUG